AUUGAACGCUGGCGGCAGGCUUAACACAUGCAAGUCGAGCGGAGAUGAGGUGCUUGCACCUUAUCUUAGCGGCGGACGGGUGAGUAAUGCUUAGGAAUCUGCCUAUUAGUGGGGGACAACAUUCCGAAAGGAAUGCUAAUACCGCAUACGCCCUACGAGGGAAAGCAGGGGAUCUUCGGACCUUGCGCUAAUAGAUGAGCCUAAGUCGGAUUAGCUAGUUGGUGGGGUAAAGGCCUACCAAGGCGACGAUCUGUAGCGGGUCUGAGAGGAUGAUCCGCCACACUGGGACUGAGACACGGCCCAGACUCCUACGGGAGGCAGCAGUGGGGAAUAUUGGACAAUGGGCGGAAGCCUGAUCCAGCCAUGCCGCGUGUGUGAAGAAGGCCUUUUGGUUGUAAAGCACUUUAAGCGAGGAGGAGGCUACCUGGAUUAAUACUCUAGGAUAGUGGGCGUUACUCGCAGAAUAAGCACCGGCUAACUCUGUGCCAGCAGCCGCAGUAACAC
rnacentral:rRNA from 1 species